UUUCCGUAGGUGAACCUGCGGAAGGAUCAUUAUUGAAAACUAGGGUGUCCAAUUUAACUUGGAACCCAACCUUCUCAAUUCUAACUUUGUGCAUCUGUAUAAUGGCGAAGCAGAUCUUCGGAUCUGUGAGCCUUCACUUACAAAACAUCAGUCUAUGAAUGUAAAAUUUUUAUAACAAAUAAAAACUUUCAACAACGGAUCUCUUGGCUCUCGCAUCGAUGAAGAACGCAGC
rnacentral:misc_RNA from 1 species